GUCUUCUCCGUCGCUGAUCGAUCUAAUCAGCGGUGGUUAUGGCUUCUAACGAUCCAAAAAACAGCGGCGGUUUCUUCGCCUCUAUUGCUUCAUCCAUCACCAGUUUUGGAUCGGUCAUGUCCAAAUCAGUUAACGGUUUGAUGGGAUAUGAAGGGCUUGAAGUAAUUAAUUCAGAGGGAAGUACUGCGGAUGCAGAGGAGGAAGCAACAAGAGGAAGGUGGAAGCAAGAGUUAUGUUUUACUAAAGAGUUAGAAAAAGAAAAAAACUGAUUCUUGGAUUGCUCACGAACGUGAUAUGGAUAUUGGAAGAUGAUGCAGAAGUACAUAGGUUCUGAUGUUACAUCUAUGGUGACUCUUCAUGUCAUCAUUUUUGAACCCAUGACAAUGCUUCAGAAGAUGGCUGAGUUGAUGGAAUACUCGCAUCUGCUUGACAUGGCUGACAAA